AGCCCCGUAGUGUAGUGGUCCAUCAUCGUGGACUCUGAAUCCACGGACACCGGUUCAAAUCCGGUCGGGGCUA
rnacentral:tRNA from 1 species